rnacentral:lncRNA from 1 species
UUGUAUUGGAGAGCGCGGUGUUGGUGUGGCCAGUAUCAUUGAUUGUGUGCCGGGAUUUCAGGAUUUAUUUGAAAAAGAAAAUCUUCAUCAGAUUUGUGAUUUUCCGGAACAAACUGGAUUCUGUUUGGAGUUGAUUAGAGAGUUCUAUAUGCGAGCAGGUUACUUGAAUGACUCCGACGGGGGCCCGUACGUAUUCACAUACAAUUAAUUCCUAGGUCUUGCAUUAUGUGUAGAAUUUUAUUUUAUAUGUAUUUAGAAUUUUCAUUGAUUAUCGGGUCAACAAUUUUGCCAAAUUGAAUAUCCUUGAUAUUGAUUUUUCAAAACUUAUUUAUGAAAUUUUAUUUGAAAUUUUUGGGGAUGGAAAUUGGUUAUUUAUGUUGAUUGAACAUUGUGGAAUUACUUGUAAUUUUUCUGAAAAAAAUUUUGAGCUUAAAUUAAAAAUUUUUCAAAAUUAAGGCUCUGGGACCGGUCCCAGGCAAGAGAGACCGAUCCCUCCGCCCGAACCAGAUAUAAAGGUUUGCGGUCUUUCAUAUGUUACUUUACCAAUUUCGUUCAUCUUCUUCUCCUGAGCUUCUAAUACUCCCAGAGUGAUUUUGGUUUCCUCUUUCAUCAUUUUACACUGAUUUUAAGUAUGAUUUUCGAAUUUUGUUGCAUUUAUAUCAUAUACUCCGAAAAUGUGUUUCGUUUUAGAUUUUGUGGUGGUUUUUCCUAAAGAUCUAGCUGAUUCUGUCAUUUAGAGUUUCGAUCUUGUUAUUAGAUUUGUUCUCUUCAUAUUGUCUUGUAUUUCUUCAUCUUUUGAUCAAUUUUUGUAGGUUUUCAUCUUCAAAACUUAGUUUUUUCAAAAUUUUUGGGAAUCAUUGUAACGACCCAGCCCACUAGCAAUAAUAACUCGUUGGGCCCAAACACCAGCCCAAAAAUGCUUAAGCCCAGUUAUUAUUACUAGUGUCUAAGUCUCUUAUAAACCCAAUGACAACCCCUUUCCCAUCCGAUGUGGGACUAUGUCACAGACUCCCCCCGUUAAGGCCCUGACGUCCUCGUCAGUUCAAUCACACACACAGCCCAAGAUCACCAGGCGAUGUGAGACUCGUCUCGCUAGCCCGUCAUCCAGACCCUGGCUCAGCCGAGACUCGCCACACAUGUCCAGCUGGUGAACCGGCUCUGAUACCAAAUGUAACGACCCAGCCCACUAGCAACAAUAACUCGUUGGGCCCAACCACCGGCCCAAAAUGCUUAAGCCCAGUUAUUAUUACUAGUGUCUAAGUCUCUUAUAAACCCAAUGACAACCCCAUUCCCAUCCGAUGUGGGACUAUUGGGGUGUCACAGACUCCCCCCGUUAAGGCCCUGACGUCCUCGUCAGUCCAAUCACACACACAGCCCAAGAUCACCAGGCGAUGUGAGACUCGUCUCGCUAGCCCGUCAUCCAGACCCUGGCUCAGCCGAGACUCGCCACACAUGUCCAGCUGGUGAACCGGCUCUGAUACCAAAUGUAACGACCCAGCCCACUAGCAACAAUAACUCGUUGGGCCCAAACCAACAGCCCAAAAUGCUUAAGCCCAGUUAUUAUUACUAGUGUCUAAGUCUCUUAUAAACCCAAUAACAACCCCAUUUCCAUCCGAUGUGGGAUUAUUGGGGUGCCACAGACUCCCCCCGUUAAGGCCCUGACGUCCUCGUCAGUCCAAUCACACACACAGCCCAAGAUCACCAGGCAAUGUGAGACUCGUCUCGCUAGCCCGUCAUCCAGACCCUGGCUCAGCCGAGACUCGCAACACAUGUCCAGCUGGUGAACCGGCUCUGAUACCAAAUGUAACGACCCAGCCCACUAGCAACAAUAACUCGUUGGGCCCAACCACUGGCCCAAAAUGCUUAAGCCCAAUUAUUAUUACUAGUGUCUACUAAGUCUCUUAUAAACCCAAUGACAACCCCUUUCCCAUCCGAUGUGGGACUAUUGGGGUGUCACAAUCAUGUGGUUUUACUGAUUUUUGUUUCAUAAGUUGUUCAUGCUUCUCAUGUUUUGUGGCCCCUAGGAUUAUCUAGCAUCUAUAUAUCAAUUUGCUGAAAAUUUUUGGAAUUAAAGAAAUGUUCUUAUGUUUCAUAUGUAAAAUUCAUUAUGUUUAAUAGGUGAUUUUUCGAAAAUGUCCUCGUGGAUUCUUGUACUUGUGGUCCUUAUGGCUGGGGGUGGUCGCGGAAGCAAACGACGGCGCUCCAAAGCUAAACGGCCGGUUGAGCAACAACCAGAAGAUGAAGGGAGCGAAUAUGCUCCAGGCGACGAAUCUGAAGAGGACGAGCCGGAUUGGGAGGCUUUUGCUCCUGAGGUGUUAGCUAAGGAUAAGGAUACAGGAAAAGGAAAAGGAAAAGGAAAAGACGUGGAUAAAGGCAAAGGAAAGGCAACUGAACGUACCGGUCGUCGCAAGUCUGGGGGUGUUGAAAUUAGAGAACCAGGUUCUGAGCCUCCGCGUCAUAGUCUGCAGGAUGUUCCGUCUGCUCGAAGGUCAAUGUACUCGUCGAAGCAUUGUAUUGGAGAGCGCGGUGUUGGUGUGGCCAGUAUCAUUGAUUGUGUGCCGGGAUUUCAGGAUUUAUUUGAAAAAGAAAAUCUUCAUCAGAUUUGUGAUUUUCCGGAACAAACUGGAUUCUGUUUGGAGUUGAUUAGAGAGUUCUAUAUGCGAGCAGGUUACUUGAAUGACUCCGACGGGGGCCCGUACGUAUUCACAACUUAUGUACGUGGUGUUGAGUUAUCAAUCACUCCUGAUACGAUAGCGUCUGUGCUAGGUAUGGAAGCAAGGACAGAGGGAGUGGAAUAUCUGCAGGCUGGGUUUGACUCACUUCGGGAUUGGAACCGUAUCGUGAA